rnacentral:rRNA from 1 species
AUCUUCCAUGCAGUCGAGCGGCAGCGCGGGGCAACCUGGCGGCGAGCGGCGAACGGGUGAGUAACAUAUCGGAACGUAUCCAUAAGUGGGGGACAACCUAGCGAAAGUUAGGCUAAUACCGCAUACGCUCGAGAGAGGAAAGUGGGGGAUCGCAAGACCUCACGCUUUAGGAGCGGCCGAUAUCAGAUUAGCUAGAUGGUGAGGUAAAGGCUUACCAUGGCGACGAUCUGUAGCUGGUCUGAGAGGAUGAUCAGCCACACUGGGACUGAGACACGGCCCAGACUCCUACGGGAGGCAGCAGUGGGGAAUUUUGGACAAUGGGGGCAACCCUGAUCCAGCCAUUCCGCGUGAGUGAAGAAGGCCUUCGGGUUGUAAAGCUCUUUUGUUCGGGACGAAACGGUUAAGGUUAAUAACCUUGACUACUGACGGUACCGGAAGAAUAAGCACCGGCUAACUACGUGCCAGCAGCCGCGGUAAUACGUAGGGUGCGAGCGUUAAUCGGAAUUACUGGGCGUAAAGCGUGCGCAGGCGGUUUUAUAAGCCAGAUGUGAAAGCCCCGGGCUCAACCUGGGAAUGGCAUUUGGGACUGUAAAGCUGGAGUAUGGCAGAGGAGACUAGAAUUCCUGGUGUAGCAGUGAAAUGCGUAGAUAUCAUGAGGAAUACCGAUGGCGAAGGCAGGUCUCUGGGCCAAUACUGACGCUCAUGCACGAAAGCGUGGGGAGCAAACAGGAUUAGAU